AUUAGGGUAGCUAACCAGGCACAUGCAAAAGACUUAAAAUCUUAUUACGAAGGUUCAAAUCCUUCCCCUAACC
rnacentral:tRNA from 1 species